rnacentral:pre_miRNA from 1 species
CAAAUACUCCCUCCGGCCGGAAAUACUUGUCAUCAAAAUGGAUAAAAGGAAAUGUAUCUAGACGUAUUUUAGUUUUAGAUACAUCUCUUUUUAUCCAUUUUGAUGACAAGUAUUUUCAGACGGAGGGAGUAGAAA